AACAGGAUUAGAUACCCUGGUAGUCCACGCUGUAAACGAUGUCGACUUGGAGGUUGUUCCCUUGAGGAGUGGCUUCCGGAGCUAACGCGUUAAGUCGACCGCCUGGGGAGUACGGCCGCAAGGUUAAAACUCAAAUGAAUUGACGGGGGCCCGCACAAGCGGUGGAGCAUGUGGUUUAAUUCGAUGCAACGCGAAGAACCUUACCUACUCUUGACAUCCAGAGAACUUAGCAGAGAUGCUUUGGUGCCUUCGGGAACUCUGAGACAGGUGCUGCAUGGCUGUCGUCAGCUCGUGUUGUGAAAUGUUGGGUUAAGUCCCGCAACGAGCGCAACCCUUAUCCUUUGUUGCCAGCGAUUCGGUCGGGAACUCAAAGGAGACUGCCAGUGAUAAACUGGAGGAAGGUGGGGAUGACGUCAAGUCAUCAUGGCCCUUACGAGUAGGGCUACACACGUGCUACAAUGGCAUAUACAAAGAGAAGCGACCUCGCGAGAGCAAGCGGACCUCAUAAAGUAUGUCGUAGUCCGGAUUGGAGUCUGCAACUCGACUCCAUGAAGUCGGAAUCGCUAGUAAUCGUGGAUCAGAAUGCCACGGUGAAUACGUUCCCGGGCCUUGUACACACCGCCCGUCACACCAUGGGAGUGGGUUGCAAAAGAAGUAGGUAGCUUAACCUUCGGGAGGGCGCUUACCACUUUGUGAUUCAUGACUGGGGUGAAGUCGUAACAAGGUAAGCCGU
rnacentral:rRNA from 1 species